rnacentral:rRNA from 1 species
AUGGCGCACCAUGUCUGCCCGAGGAUGGGAGAACUUGUGAAUCUCAACCAAUCGGCUUUCAUUCGCGGUAGGAAUCUUCAUGAUAACUUCCUGCUUGUGAGGCAAAUGGCCAGAAGGUUGCACCAAAGGAAAGCUAAGGGAGUCCUCCUCAAAUUGGAUAUUGCUCGGGCCUUUGAUUCUCUGUCAUGGCCUUUCCUUUUCGAGGUGCUUCGAGCUAAAGGUUUUUCGGAGAGGUGGCUAGCUUGGCUGGCAACGAUGCUCACUACAGCCAGCUCGAGGAUAGUGGUGAAUGGGUGUAUGAUAGACAAGUUCAUGCAUGCUUGUGGACUAAGACAAGGGGAUUCUAUCUCACCGUUGCUAUUUGUCAUCGCUAUGGAGACACUCAUGGCUAUCAUCACCGAGGCGCAUGAGCUCAAGAUUCUGGAGAAGUUGAAUGGAUGCAAGCCUUUACAACGGCUCGCUCUCUACGCGGAUGACGUGGUUCUGUUCAUUAGACCAUCUAGGGCUGACAUCACUUUCGUCAAGGAGGCUCUUAGGAUCUUUGGAAAGGCCUCGGGCCUGAAUGUCAAUUUCUCCAAGUCCUCAACGAUCUUGAUCCGUGGAGAGGAGCAUGACGAAGAGUUGGUCAGGAAUGCCCUGCCUUGGAAGAUCGAGCACUUCCCCUAUAAAUAUCUUGGUCUCCAACUGAGCAUCAAACAGCUAACAUGCUCGGAGUGA